rnacentral:rRNA from 1 species
CAGUCGUGAGGAAGGCGGAGUCGUUAAUAGCGGCUCGUUUGACGUUAGCGACAGAAGAAGACACCGGCUAACUCCGUGCCAGCAGCCGCGGUAAUACGGAGGGUGCGAGCGUUAAUCGGAAUUACUGGGCGUAAAGCGCAUGCAGGUGGUUUGUUAAGUUCAGAUGUGAAAGACCCGGGGCGUCAACCUCGGAAUAGCAUUUGAAACUAGGCAGACUAGAGUACUGUAGAGGGGGGUAGGAAGUUUCAGGUGUAGCGGUGAAAUAGCGUAGAGAUCUGAAGGAAUACCGGUGGCGAAGGCGGCCCCCUCGGACAGAUACUGACACUCAGAUGCGAAAGCGUGGGGAGCAAACAGGAUUAGAUACCCUGGUAG